CUUGCCAGAAGAGGUUGUCUGUGAUGCUAUCUACUGAGGUUAAAGACUUUUUGAAGCAAAGAGGAGCAUCUCAUCUGAAACUGAUGUCUAUCAUGGAUAUUUAACUGCAGUUCUGUGAGUAUCCCAACUUAACCAUGAAGAUGACUGCAAACUGUAAGUCAUUCAUUUCUCAUUACUCUUGGGCACAUUGAUGUAUUUUUGCUUCCUGGUGAGUUAACCCGUUACCUAAAGGUUGAUCUGAGUAGUAAGGAUGUUUUAUUGGUUCAUUGGUUUCUUAGGCGUUUGGUUUAUGUUGGUUUUAAUGAUUUGUUAAAAUGGUUACGAGAUCCAAGUUAUUGCUGUAAGCUGGAGUAAUGGGUUGGGUUCUGAUGUCUUAAGUCUUCUUUCCAGCUACUCUCCUGAGCUCUGCAUCUUCAACACACGAGUGUUGCUUUACUGAUGAGGGUGUGGUCUGAGUGAGCGGAGGUGCAUACUGGGAUACAGAGCUGUCUGAAUUCUACAGGUCUGUAGGCAC